rnacentral:tRNA from 1 species
GCUUGCAUGGUGUAAUUGGAAGCAUGUUUGGCGGGUAUUCGAGAGGUCCCGGGUUCGAGUCCCGGCGAAGGCA